rnacentral:rRNA from 1 species
GAUGAACGCUGGCGGCGUGCCUAAUACAUGCAAGUCGAGCGAACAGACGAGGAGCUUGCUCCUCUGACGUUAGCGGCGGACGGGUGAGUAACACGUGGAUAACCUACCUAUAAGUCUGGGAUAACUUCGGGAAACCGGAGCUAAUACCGGAUAAUAUAUUGAACCGCAUGGUUCAAUAGUGAAAGACGGUUUUGCUGUCACUUAUAGAGGGAUCCGCGCCGAAUUAGCUAGUUGGUAAGGUAACGGCUUACCAAGGCAACGAGGCGUAGCCGACCUGAGAGGGGGGUCGGCCACCCUGGAACUGGAACACGGUCCAUACUCCUACGGGAGGCAGCAGUAGGGAAUCUUCCGCAAUGGUGGAAAACAUGACGGAGCAACGCCGCGUGAGUUAUAGAAGUCUUCCGAUCGUAAAACUCUGUUAUUAGGGAAGAACAAAUGUGUAAGUAACUAUGCACGUCUUGACGGUACCUAAUCAGAAAGCCACGGCUAACUACGUG